rnacentral:rRNA from 1 species
GGCGGCGUUAUUGCCCCUACACCCCAUUUUUACAAAGGUUGACCUCGGAUCAGGUAGGAAUACCCGCUGAACUUAAGCAUAUCAA